GUUGAACGCUGGCGGCAUGCCUUACACAUGCAAGUCGAACGGUAACAGGUCUUCGGAUGCUGACGAGUGGCGAACGGGUGAGUAAUACAUCGGAACGUGCCUAGUAGUGGGGGAUAACUACUCGAAAGAGUGGCUAAUACCGCAUGAGAUCUACGGAUGAAAGCAGGGGAUCGCAAGACCUUGUGCUACUAGAGCGGCCGAUGGCAGAUUAGGUAGUUGGUGGGAUAAAAGCUUACCAAGCCGACGAUCUGUAGCUGGUCUGAGAGGACGAUCAGCCACACUGGGACUGAGACACGGCCCAGACUCCUACGGGAGGCAGCAGUGGGGAAUUUUGGACAAUGAGCGAAAGCCUGAUCCAGCAAUGCCGCGUGCAGGAUGAAGGCCUUCGGGUUGUAAACUGCUUUUGUACGGAACGAAAAGCCCCGGGUUAAUACCCUGGGGUCAUGACGGUACCGUAAGAAUAAGCACCGGCUAACUACGUGCCAGCCGCCGCAGUAA
rnacentral:rRNA from 1 species